UAUUUCGUUCCCUCGAUUUAGGAUAUCGAGCGAACGAAUUAAGUAUUUCGUUCCCUCGAAAUAAUCAUAUUAGAAAUCGAAAUACAAUUUCGUGAUUAAAGUCUAAAUCUCUGGCCCAUCAAAGCCAGUGAGGAGAGACGGACAUGCAGCUGUUUUAUAUUAGAUCCAUGCAGCAGCAGCAGCAGCAGCAGCAGCAGCACCGGGACCAGCUACAACAUCUUGGAGUGGAAGGUACGUUUCUGAAGUUAUGCAACUAUAUUCCUAUGUGUGAUAAGUGUUUUAAAUAAAUAUCUUAAAGCCCAUUCUUGUAUUCUGAACCUUGUUACCAACCUAACAUAAAGCAUAUGAGGCUAACGUUGGCUAAAACGGUGAAAUGCUAUUUUUAAUGUUACUGUUUACAACUAUUUCCAGGGUUAGUGGGGAUGUAAAGCCUCUCAAAACCAACAUGAAAUAACGUGCAAAUCUUCCCUCAGAGCAGUGUUGUUUUGUUGUAACAAUUUUGUUGCUAAAUGAUCAAAACGAGACAUAAAGCACCCGUUUCAUUCAUUUAGGGGCCGUCUAUGUGCUGGAGUUAACAGUGGCUGCAACGCUCUGACAUCCACGUUGACAUUAUACAGCAAUCUUACACAACCACACAGAUUCUUUUGCCGGAGUCCGAAGUUUCAUCUAUGGACGCAGCACCACAAACCAGCGGAUUGAAUCGUGGUGGGGGAUCCUGAGGAAACAAAGUGCACAGUUUUGGAUCAACGUUUUCCAAACCCUCCAAGAUGACGGCUACUUCUCUGGUGAUUUCUUGGAUAGGAGCCUGAUCCAAUUCUGCUUCCUAAACCUUGUUCAGGAUGAACUUGACGAAGUCGUGAGAACCUGGAAUUCACACAAGAUAAGAGCAAAGGCAGCUGAUGGUGUGAUUGGAGGUCGGCGGAUUUUGAUGUACACACUUCCAGGCAUGUUCGGCGCAGAGGACAAUCUCAAGCCCAUACACAUGAAUGAAUUGGCCCUUUGUAGGGAGGAGUGCACCCCCAAAAGCCAAUAUACAUGUGAUGAAACUGUAUUUGAUCUCUGCUGUCUUCUGAUGCAGGAAAGGGGAUGGGAUCCUCCUACAGAUGCAUUUUCCGCUGCUGAACUGUACACCUUAUUAAGAACUGAAAUACUGCAAAGUGUCUGAGGGUGGACAAUUCUCUCUGCACAAAGACGAAUCAUUUGUACUGUACAAUACAGGACUGUCUCAGAAAAUUAGAAUAUUGUGAUAAAGUCCUUUUAUUUUCUGUAAUGCAAAAAUGUCAUACAUUCUGGAUUCAUUACAAAUCAACGGAAAUAUUGCAAGCCAUUUAUUAUUUUAAUAUUGCUGAUCAUGGCUUACAGCUUAA